rnacentral:rRNA from 1 species
UGUAAGCGUAUACCAAAGUUGUUGCAGUUAAAACGCUCGUAGUCGGAGUUUGGCAGUUCCGGAUGUGUGCACGUCGUGUGCGCACUUCGCGGGGAUUGCUUUUGUGGUCUUGCGUAGGAUGAGGCACUUUUAUUAGUGAACGUCCUCACGCAACCACUUUUUACUGUGAGAAAAUCAGAGUGCUCAAAGCAGGCAUUUGCCGUGAAUGUAUUAGCAUGGAAUAAUAGAAUAGGACUUGGUUCUAUUUUGUUGGUUUGUUGGGACUGAGUAAUGAUUAAGAGGGACAGUUGGGGGCAUUUGUAUUUCGGCGCUAGAGGUGAAAUUCUUAGAUUGCCGAAAGACAAACUGCUGCGAAAGCGUCUGCCAAGGAUGUUUUCAUUAA